rnacentral:rRNA from 1 species
UACGUAGGGUGCGAGCGUUGUCCGGAAUUACUGGGCGUAAAGAGCUCGUAGGUGGUUUGUCGCGUUGUCCGUGAAAACUCACAACUCAAUUGUGGGCGUGCGGGCGAUACGGGCAGACUGGAGUACUGCAGGGGAGACUGGAAUUCCUGGUGUAGCGGUGGAAUGCGCAGAUAUCAGGAGGAACACCGGUGGCGAAGGCGGGUCGCUGGAACGGAACUGACGCUGAGGCGCGAAGGUCAGGGGAGCAAACGGG